CCUCUCUGCCCCGCCCCCUUCUUAGUGGGCCGCUGUGAUAAAAAAAUGCCCGGGCCGAAUUUUUUUCCCAGUCCGGCCCUGUGUGCUGCCAUCUUGACUCUCCGUCAAUCAUUGUUAGAAGCUCUGUCCUUUGAACCUGGUAGUUGGAAAAGUGAACAUAGAGAGGUGAUGAGAAUCAUUAAAAAAAAAAUCACAGUUACUCACUAAAGUGUGAAUUGAUCGGAAUUUAAAGUGAAUUUUUGGCCAAAAUACCCAGAUUUAGAUCUAAGAUCUAAAAUUCACUUCGAAUUUUCAGCAAUUGACGUUUUUUUUUUUCCUCCUUCAAUGCAAUGCAUACUCUGGCAGUGCCUGCACGAAACUGGAUUUUUUAAUGUCAAUUGCGAUAGCUUUUAAAAAAAACAAAACAAAAAAAAAAACAAAGCAUCACAUAAAAAGGCAAAAAAACUAACCAGCAUAAGUGUUUUUCAAUGUUUUAUUCAAUGGUGAAAUUUUCAUAGAAGUAACGGUUUCC